ensembl:lncRNA
CAAAAUACAAAACACGUACAAAAUACAAAACACAUGCAAAAUACAAAACACGUACAAAAUACAAAACACGUACAAAAUACAAAACACAUGCAAAAUACAAAACACAUACAAAAUACAAAACACAUGCAAACUCCAAAACACAUGCAAAAUACAAAACACGUACAAAAUACAAAACACGUACAAAAUACAAAACACAUGCAAAAUACAAAACACAUACAAAAUACAAAACACAUGCAAACUCCAAAACACAUGCAAAAUACAAAACACGUACAAAAUACAAAACACAUGCAAAAUACAAAACACAUACAAAAUACAAAACACAUGCAAAAUACAAAACACAUGCAAACUCCAAAGCACAACGGAAGUGCUCCAGGACGCUAGGGGCAGUGUUGAGCUUUUGUUACCUAGUAACUACACAAGCCAGGACGUACCAAUUACCGGAUUUGGGCUGUAUCCCAAUUCAGGGUCUGCAGCCUUUUUUUUCCUCACUUUAUUUAUCUCAUUUUAGACAUACAGUCAAGGGGUCUGCAGCCUUAAAGGCCGCAUUUUAAUGCCAAAGGCUGUCCCAAUUCAAAGGCUGCUCGAAAUGCGGCCCUCAAAUGCGUUCUUCAUUUCCCUGAAUUUUAAGGAUGGGUCAGUGUAGCCUUCAUGGCCCAACAUAUCCCAGACUUCAUAGCGCGGCGGUGGUGUGGAUAAUUUUGCCGAAAAAAACCGUGGAAGCGAAGCGGCCGAAGAGUACUUUCAAAACUUAUCACACAUUUGAUUUCCAUUUGUGCCAACUGCAAGUGUCCAGAGUGAGGACAGACUGAGGGACCCACUGCUGCACAUCAUCUGUGAGGCUUUGCACCCCUGAUGAUCCACCAGGACAAACUCAGCAGUGUGUGAGGAAGAGGAGGAGGAAGAGCCAGCAGUAGCUGACAGAUGGAGAGAAUAGAGACUGUUCCUGUUUGUGAAGGACUGCUAGGAAAGUUUAACAUAACUAAUUGUCUGUCCUGAAUCAGUCUUAUUAGGUAAUGUUCAAAUAAUGUUAUCAUCCCAGUGUUUUCAGUGUGGGAGAAAGUACUCAGGGCCUUCAAGUUACACACUAUGAAAGGCAGCAACAAGUUUAAUAUUCAGAAACCUAAAGUAUGUAUCAGCAG